AGUCGAACGGAUAUUUAGCUUUUUCGAAUAUCAGUGGCGAAAGGGUGAGUAACACGUGGGAAAUCUGCCUUCAGGCUCGGGAUAACUUGUCGAAAGACGGGCUAAUACCGGAUACCUUACAGUUUUGAAAUAAAUUGUAGGAAAGAUGGGGACCUCUUCGGAGGCCUGUCACCUUUAGAUGAGCCCGCGGCCUAUCAGCUAGUUGGUGAGGUAAUGGCUCACCAAGGCUAAGACGGGUAGCUGGUCUGAGAGGAUGGUCAGCCACACUGGGACUGAGACACUGCCCAGACUCCUACGGGAGGCUGCAGUCGAGAAUCUUUCGCAAUGGGGGAAACCCUGACGAAGCGACGCCGCGUGUAGGAUGAAGGUCUUCGGAUUGUAAACUACUGUCAGCUGGGAAGAAUAAGUUGCACAUUAAUAAUGUGCGACCUUGACGGUACCAGCAGAGGAAGCCACGGCUAACUCUGUGCCAGCAGCCGCGGUAAUACAGAGGUGGCAAGCGUUGUUCGGAUUUAUUGGGCGUAAAGGGUCCGUAGGCGGCUCGUAAAGUCGGAUGUGAAAUCCCACAGCUCAACUGUGGAACUGCAUUCGAAACUCACGAGCUAGAGUAUGAGAGGGGUAAAGGGAAUUCCCGGUGUAAGGGUGAAAUCUGCAGAGAUCGGGAGGAACACCAGUCGCGAAAGCGCUUUACUGGCUCAUUACUGACGCUCAGGGACGAAAGCUAGGGGAGCAAACGGGAUUAGAUACCCCGGUAGUCCUAGCCGUAAACUAUGGUCACUAGGUGUUGGGAGGGUUAAACCUUUCAGUGCC
rnacentral:rRNA from 1 species